rnacentral:rRNA from 1 species
AUGGCCGCGCUGCAACCAUCGUUCUCUUCACUAAUGGCUAUGAACAAUAGCUGCAACACCAUGAAAUUCCCCAAGACUGCACUUUUGCCUGGUUUCGGUGGCAUUUCGCGCCCUCAAGAUGUGCAGGACAGGAAUGCUAGCCUCACCUGUUCAAGGCCCAAGGCAGUUUCAGUGACUGAUCAGUCAGUAGCAGAGCCAGCAAAACCCAGGCAAACGAAACACACAGUUGAUCCUGCUGCUCCCGAAUUUCUGCCGCUCCCAGCAUUUGAAGACUGCUUCCCACGGAGCACCAAAGAAUGCAGUGAAGUCGUUCAUGAGGAAACAGGUCAUGCCCUGAAGGUUCCAUUUCGGAGAGUCCAUUUGACCGGAGAUAGCGGGCAUUUCGACACAUAUGACACCAGUGGUCCACAAAACAUAAGCCCAAGGCUCGGACUCCCAAAGAUAAGAAAGGAAUGGAUUGACAGGAGAGAGAAGUUGGGUAGUCCUCGUUACACGCAAAUGUACUAUGCUAAGCAGGGAAUCAUAACAGAGGAGAUACUGUACUGUGCCAAACGCGAGAACCUUGCUCCUGAAUUUGUCCGGUCAGAAGUCGCCCGUGGACGAGCCAUUAUCCCUUCCAACAAGAGGCACCUGGAAUUGGAACCCAUGAUUGUUGGAAGAAACUUCCUUGUAAAGGUGAAUGCUAACAUUGGGAACUCUGCUGUUGUGAGCUCCAUUGAGGAGGAAGUCCACAAGCUCCAGUGGGCCACAAUGUGGGGAGCAGAUACUGUCAUGGACCUUUCAACAGGGCGCCAUAUCCAUGAGACCCGGGAAUGGAUUAUUCGUAACUCUUCGGUUCCUAUUGGAACUGUUCCUAUUUACCAAGCACUUGAGAAAGUUAACGGUAUUGCUGAAGAUCUGAGCUGGGAAGUCUUUAGGGACACUUUAAUUGAACAAGCCGAGCAGGGUGUUGAUUACUUCACCAUCCACGCUGGUGUGCUGCUUCGAUAUAUUCCUCUCACAGCAAAGAGAAUGACCGGCAUAGUUUCUCGUGGUGGAUCAAUCCAUGCAAAAUGGUGCUUGACGUAUCACAAGGAGAACUUUGCUUAUGAGCACUGGGAUGACAUUCUUGACAUAUGUAACCAGUAUGAUGUGGCAUUAUCUAUUGGUGAUGGCCUGAGGCCUGGUUCCAUUUAUGAUGCUAAUGAUAGUGCUCAGUUUGCAGAACUGCUGACUCAGGGGGAACUAACUCGCCGAGCAUGGGAGAAAGAUGUGCAGGUGAUGAAUGAAGGUCCUGGGCAUAUUCCGAUGCAUAAGAUUCCUGAAAAUAUGGAGAAACAGCUGGAGUGGUGCAACGAAGCACCUUUCUAUACGUUGGGUCCAUUGACCACUGAUAUUGCACCUGGUUAUGAUCACAUCACCUCAGCCAUUGGUGCUGCCAACAUUGGGGCUCUUGGCACUGCACUUCUUUGUUAUGUAACACCAAAGGAGCACCUUGGGUUGCCUAACAGGGAUGAUGUUAAGACAGGUGUGAUAUCCUACAAAAUCGCUGCUCAUGCUGCUGAUUUGGCAAAGCGUCACCCCUAUGCACAAGCAUGGGAUGAUGCACUAAGCAAGGCAAGGUUUGAGUUUAGAUGGUUGGACCAAUUUGCUUUAUCCCUGGAUCCAGUUACUGCAAUGUCUUUCCAUGAUGAAACACUGCCGUCUGAUGGCGCCAAAGUAGCACAUUUCUGCUCAAUGUGUGGUCCCAAGUUUUGCUCGAUGAAAAUCACCGAGGAUAUUAGAAAGUAUGCUGAUGAACAUGGUUACGGGACAGUAGAGGAAGCGGUGAGACAAGGAAUGAGUGAGAUGAGUGCUGAAUUUUUGGCUGCAAGAAAAACAAUUAGUGGCGAACAACAUGGUGAAGCUGGAGGGGAAAUCUAUGUGCCAGAAAGCUACGUAGUUCAGAAAUAA